UACGUAGGUGGCAAGCGUUGUCCGGAUUUAUUGGGUUUAAAGGGUGCGUAGGCGGCUUUGUAAGUCAGUGGUGAAAUAUGGCAGCUCAACUGUCAGGGUGCCAUUGAUACUGCGGAGCUUGAGUACAGAUGAGGUAGGCGGAAUUGACGGUGUAGCGGUGAAAUGCUUAGAUAUCGUCAAGAACACCGAUAGCGAAGGCAGCUUACUGGGCUGUAACUGACGCUGAGGCACGAAAGCGUGGGGAGCAAAC
rnacentral:rRNA from 1 species